UACGGAGGAUCCGAGCGUUAUCCGGAUUUACUGGGUUUAAAGGGUGCGUAGGUGGAAUGUCAAGUCAGUGGUGAAAACCUGCAGCUUAACUGCAGACCUGCCAUUGAUACUGUCAUUCUUGAGUGUAUUUGAUGUAAGUGGAAUGUGUCAUGUAGCGGUGAAAUGCUUAGAUAUGACACAGAACACCCAUUGCGAAGGCAGCUUACAAAACUACAACUGACACUGAGGCACGAAAGCGUGGGGAUCAAACAGGAUUAGAUACCCUGGUAGUCCACGCCGUAAACGUUGAUUACUAGAUGUGUGCGAGCAAUUGCACGUGUCAAAGCGAAAGCGUUAAGUAAUCCACCUGGGGAGUACGACCGCAAGGUUGAA
rnacentral:rRNA from 1 species